rnacentral:lncRNA from 1 species
CAUGAAAAGCUGGUGACCAUGAUAGCCCAAAUGUCUUCAAAUCUUAAAAUUGGAUAAAAAAGUAAAGGAAAAGAGAGACCUAAUGUUAAUUUCAGUUUUGGGAGUGUGAUAACUACACAAUGGGCUAGUAGUAAUGAGAAUAGUGUUUUUACUAAAGGGAAAAUCAAGGGAAGUGGUAGAUUUCCUAGAAUUGAUUUCCCCCCAAUUUGGGGAAGAACGACCCAGGGAAUGGCUGAGGAAAGCUAUGGAAUAUUUUCAACUCCAUCAAAUUUCUGAUGAACUUAGAUUGGGAGUUGCAAAGAUGUAUUUGAAAGGGAAAGCUGAUAUAUGGUUUUAUGUAUUCAUUGCAAGCAAUCCUAAUGCAGAUUGAAGAAUCUUCUCUACAGAGUUAUGUAAGAGAUUUGAUAUGAAUACUGAAAUUAUUAAGGCUACAUCUGCCCUAAGGUGGAACAACAGGAUGAUGAAGGAGACGGGGGACUAGAACCUGUAGAUGAAAGUGAAAGCAAAAGGCAAGGAGAUGCUGAAAUUGAGGGUGAGGUUAAACCACAAGAUGUUGAUAGUCAAUAGGUUGAGAGUCAUGACUUUGUAGAUGGAAAACAUAUUUUGGUUGGUAACUGAAAGUUGCUAACUGAAAAUCAAGUUCAUAUACCAAGCCUUAUGGAGAUUUCUAUCACUGCUUUAUCAGGAAAUUCAGGGUAUAAAACUAUCAGAAUUUCUGCAAUUUUAAAGGGAAAGAGGAUAUCUAUUUUAAUAGAUAGUGGAAUCACACAUAGUUUCAUAGAUGAGAGACUGGAUAAGGAGCUAUAUUACGCUACUGAGGAAACCAAAACCAUGACAAUGAGAGUGGCUAAUGGUGAAAAGUUGGAGAGUAAGGCUUUGAAUCAACCAUUGGUAUGAAAGGUUCAUAAUUGGGAGUUCUAGUAUAAAUUGAGAACUUUGAAGUUAGGAGGUAGUGAUAUGGUAUUAGGGGUAAAUUGGAUGAGUAAAUUUGACCUUCAAAGGUAAAUGAUAUGUAAAGUUAAAAUACCAGCAGAAAGACAUAAUCUUGAGGAGUGAAGGCUCAAAACCCCGGGUUAAAACGAUGGAAGUAGAAAAAAUGGAGAAUUUGUUUAAAAGAUACAAUUAUGGAGUGGCUGGACAUUUGUAUAAUAUCAUGGAGAAAGAGAAAGAAAAAGUUCCAUCCCAAAUCACUGAGGUUAUUAGCCAAUAU